GAUGAACGCUGGCGGCGUGCCUAAUACAUGCAAGUCGAGCGAACGGACGAGAAGCUUGCUUCUCUGAUGUUAGCGGCGGACGGGUGAGUAACACGUGGAUAACCUACCUAUAAGACUGGGAUAACUUCGGGAAACCGGAGCUAAUACCGGAUGAUAUUUUGAACCGCAUGGUUCAAAAGUGAAAGACGGUCUUGCUGUCACUUAUAGAUGGAUCCGCGCUGUAUUAGCUAGUUGGUAAGGUAACGCUUACCAAGGCAACGAUGCAUAGCCGACCUGAGAGGGUGAUCGGCCACACUGGAACUGAGACACGGUCCAGACUCCUACGGGAGGCAGCAGUAGGGAAUCUUCCGCAAUGGGCGAAAGCCUGACGGAGCAACGCCGCGUGAGUGAUGAAGGUCUUCGGAUCGUAAAACUCUGUUAUUAGGGAAGAACAUAUGUGUAAGUAACUGUGCACAUCUUGACGGUACCUAAUCAGAAAGCCACGGCUAACUACGUG
rnacentral:rRNA from 1 species